rnacentral:sRNA from 1 species
CGAGGAUGCGCAUAGCUGACAUUCUGUAAAGUGACCAGGUCAGGGGACAUUAAGUAGUUGGUACACCAAGGUCAAGGUCUGAAGCAAAGGGUGAAAUGACAAGUUAGUAGUAACAUUUAUGAGCUCAGCUCACCCUGUCAAGUGGGAGACUUCACAAUCUGUCACCCAGGAAGAGAGAGAAAGGGCCAGAAGUCAACUUGCAUUAGAAAAUGUGCUAUUACCAAGAAGCAUGUCACCAAGACAACCGAAUAGAACUGUCCAGAGUAUGUCCUUCUGCAGAAAUAUCAAUUGAGACAACUAUCCAGGCAUGAAAUACCUUCAUAAGAACUAAACAAAACAGGGAAAGCUCCUUAAACCAGAAGAGAGUUGUGGCAAAAAAAGACACACUCAACCAAGAGUUGCGAUGAAAGCAAUGUGUCACAUGAAUUGCCAAUACUUACACUAGUUAAAAGAAGAAAGAAACAAAAGAAAAUAGAGCAUCAUUAUAUAAAAGAGUCAACUUAUCAAGCAGAACCAUCCCUUUAUUCUUCUUCUUUCCCCUACAAUGAAGUGAUUCUUUACAACAUCCUGUGCUCCUUUUAAAGCCCAUUGGUUCCUUGUGGUGCUGUCAGAAUGUACAUGAGGAACGUCUACUGAAGAAAGGAAAGCCUCUCAGAAGCCAAAUACCUGAAGAAAACUCACUCUGCCUCUCAUAAGAAUCCAUCAGUGGCCAAUAUCACCUCAGUGUUUCCACAGGACGUAUCCCAGAUGAUUGAGUCGGGGGAAAGUCUACAAAAGUUUGGAUGUUGAUUAUUUCCUAAUAUCCCAGAAAUGAGAGGAAAGCCUAAACAUGAUCUAGGAUUAAGGAUACCAGCUUUUGCAGAAGAACUAAAACAACUACCCAUGUCUAAACAAGCAACUACUAGACUCUUGGGCUUCCCAUUCACAACUGCCCAUUGUUGGGUUAGCUGGACUACUGACUAGUCACCAGCCAACAAACAGGCAUUAAAUUCACCAUCCUAAGGAAAUUAUUCAUACUCAAAACAUAACAGCCAAAAGUCAUGCACUUGAAGACUUCUGUCUCUACUCCUCUAUUCUACGGAUAAAGUGAAACCAUAACUUUCAGGAAAAGAAAACAUGAGAAUGUAGAUUACAAAAGUCGGAACUGACAAAAUACAUAAAGACCAUGGGAUGGAAUUUACAUUUUGAGGAUGGCAGAGUAAUGAAUCAGAAAGAGCCUUUGACACCAACGACUCACAGGAAGUCCCAACAUGUCUCCUUAAUAUCUUCAUAGUGGUCAUAUCAUUUGAAUAUGAAGAAGAAAAAGAGCAGGUGGAGGUAUUCAACCAUGCCGUCAAUCAACUAUGCAAUGCAACUAUGCAAUGACCAAUUAAAAGAAUAAGAAAUCUAAAUGAAUAGAUCUUUUAUUAUUAAUUUCAUUUAAUACUGGUUAAGCAAGAGAGACAGUUGAAUUAGGGUUUUUAAAA